rnacentral:rRNA from 1 species
GACGGGGACCCGCACAAGCGUGGAGCAUGUGGUUUAAUUCGACGAUACGCGAAGAACCUUACCUGGCCUUGACAUACUAAAAAGCUUUAAGAGAUUAGAGUGUGCUAGCUUGCUAGAAUUUAGAUACAGGUGCUGCACGGCUGUCGUCAGCUCGUGUCGUGAGAUGUUGGGUUAAGUCCCGCAACGAGCGCAACCCUCGUGUUUAGUUGCUAACAGUUCGGCUGAGAACUCUAAACAGACUGCCUACGCAAGUAGGAGGAAGGUGAGGACGACGUCAAGUCAUCAUGGCCCUUACGGCCAGGGCUACACACGUGCUACAAUGGGGUAUACAAAGAGCAGCGAUACGGUGACGUGGAGCAAAUCUAGAAAAUGCCUCUCAGUUCGGAUUGUAGUCUGCAACUCGACUACAUGAAGUUGGAAUCGCUAGUAAUCGUAGAUCAGCAAUGCUACGGUGAAUACGUUCCCGGGUCUU